AAGGGCAUAGCUCAGUGGCAGAGCACAUGCCUAGCAUGCAUGAGGUCCUGGGUUCAAUCCCCAGCGCCUCCA
rnacentral:tRNA from 1 species